rnacentral:misc_RNA from 1 species
UCCCCGUUAACCGGGGCAGUCCCCCUAGAGUGCCCGGCUUUACCCGCUGGUAACUAGUGACAAGGGUUGCGCUCGUUGCGGGACUUAACCCAACAUCUCACGACACGAGCUGACGACAGCCAUGCAGCACCUGUGCAGCCGUCCCGAAGGACGCCCCAGGUUUCCCCAGAGCUUCAGCUGCAUGUCAAGCCUAGGUAAGGUUCUUCGCGUUGCGUCGAAUUAAACCACAUGCUCCACCGCUUGUGCGGGCCCCCGUCAAUUCCUUUGAGUUUCAGCCUUGCGGCCGUACUCCCCAGGCGGGGCACUUAAUGCGUUAGCUUCGGCACGGAGGGAGUCGACACCCCCCACACCUAGUGCCCAUCGUUUACAGCGUGGACUAC